UACGUAGGGUGCAAGCGUUGUCCGGAAUUAUUGGGCGUAAAGAGCUUGUAGGCGGUUUGUCGCGUCUGCUGUGAAAUUUCGGGGCUCAACCCCGAACUUGCAGUGGGUACGGGCAGACUAGAGUGUGGUAGGGGAGACUGGAAUUCCUGGUGUAGCGGUGAAAUGCGCAGAUAUCGGGAGGAACACCAGUGGCGAAGGCGGUUACCUGGAGCUUUGCUGACGCUGAUGCGCGAAAGCGUGGGGAGCGAUCCGG
rnacentral:rRNA from 1 species